CAACAGUGUCAAGAUGUGCUUUUACUCUUGCUGAACUUGCCUCACAGUAUUUGGAUGUUGUCUAGCAAGCUGUGCAGUUUCUACAGCCUAGAAGGAGUCGACUCUUGCAGCUGGAGUAGAGCAUUCUCUCCUUAACACUACAGCUGUAUCCCGGCAUGGAGUAGAUGAACACUACAAACGUAAUGACAGACUUUUCAUCAAUGCAAGCAACACUUCAGUGAAUGAACCAAACCCUGACUGUUAUUUUGGAUUUGAAGGAGACCGCCGUGACGUACAGGCGACUGAUCAGGCGACCAGGAAAGAAAGAGCCACUCAAAGCCAAGCGCAUUUUGGGAGUCCAAACGGUAAAGCACAUAGCAGGGCUCUUGUCGGUCCAGCAGAGGUAGCAGGAAGUGGUCGUAGUCCUGGUCCCAGCUCUGCUCUGGUUCCCUGUAGGCUCCCAGCACCAGCUGCUCUGAAAGUCACACCGGGCAGACAUCACAUACCUUACCUUGUGUCACAACACAUGCUGACGGGAUGACGUUAUGUUCGUACACCAACAAAUUCCGCUCAUGUCACUUUGAUUAUUUAGUGUCGGCCAUUUUGUA